rnacentral:ncRNA from 2 species
CUGAACGCCUCUAAGUCAGAA